CAGGUCUUGACAUCCUUUUGCCCUCCCUAGAGAUAGGGACUUCCCUUCGGGGACAAAAGUGACAGGUGGUGCAUGGUUGUCGUCAGCUCGUGUCGUGAGAUGUUGGGUUAAGUCCCGCAACGAGCGCAACCCUUGAUCUUAGUUGCCAGCAUUUAGUUGGGCACUCUAAGGUGACUGCCGGUGACAAACCGGAGGAAGGUGGGGAUGACGUCAAAUCAUCAUGCCCCUUAUGACCUGGGCUACACACGUGCUACAAUGGAUGGUACAAAGAGCUGCGAACCCGCGAGGGUAAGCGAAUCUCAUAAAGCCAUUCUCAGUUCGGAUUGUAGGCUGCAACUCGCCUACAUGAAGCCGGAAUCGCUAGUAAUCGUGGAUCAGCAUGCCACGGUGAAUACGUUCUC
rnacentral:rRNA from 1 species